AAAGAACAGACUUGUGAUGAUUUUAUGAACACAGCGCGUCAAGAAUUUGCAAAGGACUAGCGAAGGUCUAAGAACAAAAGCAGCGGUUUUCCUAACAGAAAAACGCCCCUCUUGUCCUUAAAACCCGGCGCCAACUCUGCAAAAUUUUGACAUGCUGUGAACAUACAAUUCUACUAUUCCAUCCAAGCAUUCCCAGCAACAUGGCGAUAUGGCAAUGCNAGUAAUUUCUUUCGAGCAACAAAAAUUUAUUAAAUAUAUCAAAAGAAAGAGAGCGCAUUACGAUUAG